rnacentral:piRNA from 1 species
UAGAAAUACUCAUUGAUGUGUUUAUUUCA